rnacentral:tmRNA from 1 species
GGGCGGCGCGGAGUUAACUCAGUAGAUCUGGCUAAGCAUGUAGAACCGAUAGCGGAGAGCUGGCGGACGGGGGUUCAAAUCCCCCCGGCUCCACCA